UUCCUCAGUAACGGCGAGUGAAGGGGAAUAGCCAGCAGAAUCGGCUGCCUUUGGCAGAUGAACUGUGGUGUUAGGACGGUCCAGUUCGUCGAUCGGACGCCCAAGUUCGCUUGAACGCGGCCACGCCCAAGAGGGUGCCAGGCCCGUAAGGCGUCCGGUCAGGCGACUCUCGGAGUUCUUAGAGUCGGGUUGUUUGACAUUGCACCGAAACUUGGGUAAACUCCAUCUAAGCUAAAUACUGGCACGAGUCCGAUUGCGAAAGGUACCGUGGGGAAAAUUGAAAAAAACUUUGAAAGAGAACUGAACUGUACGUGAAACCGUCCAGAGGCAAACGGAGAGGACCGCAUUGUUUGGUUUCAGAUUCAGUCCGUCUGCCGGCUCGAUCGUGCUUGGCUCAUCCCUCACUGGAGGGGAACGUCCGUCGCUAGGCGGCUGCCGUAUUUUCGACGUGCGACCGCCACCACCGGUUUGAGGGCGACCACCAGCUCCCGGACAAGGGGAACGACUCUCGCGUCUGAGAAUACUCGCUCGGACCCCGCUCUCGUCCGCGGACGAGAAGACCGUCGCAGUUCGGCAUCUGCGCUGGCCGUGUUCGUGCGUACGACUUGCGAUGACUGGAAAAGUGCUCGAAACGCGCGGAUCAUCGGUCGGACGGGCGCGUCGUCUUGUCGGCUAUCUUCGGCCCCCUGUCGACCGUCAAGA
rnacentral:rRNA from 1 species